rnacentral:rRNA from 1 species
UAANUAGAUCAUGGCUCAGAUUGCNCGCUGGUUACAGGCCUAACACAUGCAAGUCGAGCGGAUGACGGGAGCUUGCUCCUUGAUUCAGCGGCGGACGGGUGAGUAAUGCCUAGGAAUCUGCCUGGUAGUGGGGGACAACGUUUCGAAAGGAACGCUAAUACCGCAAUACGUCCUACGGUGAGAAAGCAGGGGACCUUCGGGCCUUGCGCUAUCAGAUGACGCCUANGUCGGAUUAGCUAGUUGGUGAGGUAAUGGCUCACCAAGGCGACGAUCCGUAACUGGUCUGGGAGGAUGAUCAGUCACACUGGAACUGAGACACGNGUCCAGACUCCUACGGGAGGCAGCUAGUGGGGAAUAUUGGACAAUGGGCGAAAUGCCUGAUCCAGCCAUGCCGCGUGUGUGAAGAAGGUCUUCGGAUUGUCAAGCACUUUAAGUUGGGAGCGAAACGGCAGUAAGUUAAUACCUUUGCUGUUUUGACGUUACCGACAGAAUAAGCACCGGCUAACUCUGUGCCAGCAGACCGCGGUAAUACAGACGGGUGCAAGCGUACAUCGAGAAUUACUGGGCGUAAAGCGCGCGUAGGU